UGAGGGGUUUAUCUACACUGAGGUUCCCUCUCCACUGUGACUGAGACCUCUGAGGGGUUUAUCUACACUGAGGUUCCCUCUCCACUGUGACUGAGACCUCUGAGGGGUUUAUCUACACUGAGGUUCCCUCUCCACUGUGACUGAGACCUCUGAGGGGUUUAUCUACACUGAGGUUCCCUCUCCACUGUGACUGAGACCUCUGAGGGGUUUAUCUACACUGAGGUUCCCUCUCCACUGUGACUGAGACCUCUGAGGGGUUUAUCUACACUGAGGUUCCCUCUCCACUGUGACUGAGACCUCUGAGGGGUUUAUCUACACUGAGGUUCCCUCUCCACUGUGACUGAGACCUCUGAGGGGUUUAUCUACACUGAGGUUCCCUCUCCACUGUGACUGAGACCUCUGAGGGGUUUAUCUACACUGAGGUUCCCUCUCCACUGUGACUGAGACCCCAGAGGGGUUUAUCUACACUGAGGUUCCCUCUCCACUGUGACUGAGACCUCUGAGGGGUUUAUCUACACUGAGGUUCCCUCUCCACUGUGACUGAGACCCCAGAGGGGUUUAUCUACACUGAGGUUCCCUCUCCACUGUGACUGAGACCUCUGAGGGGUUUAUCUACACUGAGGUUCCCUCUCCACUGUGACUGAGACCUCUGAGGGGUUUAUCUACACUGAGGUUCCCUCUCCACUGUGACUGAGACCUCUGAGGGGUUUAUCUACACUGAGGUUCCCUCUCCACUGUGACUGAGACCCCAGAGGGGUUUAUCUACACUGAGGUUCCCUCUCCACUGUGACUGAGACCCCAGAGGGGUUUAUCUACACUGAGGUUCCCUCUCCACUGUGACUGAGACCUCUGAGGGGUUUAUCUACACUGAGGUUCCCUCUCCACUGUGACUGAGACCCCAGAGGGGUUUAUCUACACUGAGGUUCCCUCUCCACUGUGACUGAGACCCCAGAGGGGUUUAUCUACACUGAGGUUCCCUCUCCACUGUGACUGAGACCUCUGAGGGGUUUAUCUACACUGAGGUUCCCUCUCCACUGUGACUGAGACCUCUGAGGGGUUUAUCUACACUGAGGUUCCCUCUCCACUGUGACUGAGACCUCUGAGGGGUUUAUCUACACUGAGGUUCCCUCUCCACUGUGACUGAGACCUCUGAGGGGUUUAUCUACACUGAGGUUCCCUCUCCACUGUGACUGAGACCUCUGAGGGGUUUAUCUACACUGAGGUUCCCUCUCCACUGUGACUGAGACCUCUGAGGGGUUUAUCUACACUGAGGUUCCCUCUCCACUGUGACUGAGACCUCUGAGGGGUUUAUCUACACUGAGGUUCCCUCUCCAC